rnacentral:lncRNA from 1 species
UGUUAAUCUAGGGUGGAGUGGGUAAAAGCUUAAAGAAAUAUGAUGAAAAGUAAUCCAGUGCUCAACAAGGGCAUCAGCAGCAAGAAUCCAGCCUCUGCUGCUCCAGAGGAUUAAGAUGGGGAAAGCCACAGAACUGCAGUCGAGUUGCACCUCAGCGUUGUUCUGGAGAUGGAUAAACAAGCUUUGUGGAUUGACAGACUUGUGAAGGCAUGAAAGUGAAGAGAGGCUUUAUUGGAAACCCAGAGGUUUCUCCUUCUGGCUGUGUUCUCACCAUCUGUCCAGAUGUAACUCCAGCAAGUGUAACUGUGAUGCAGGUCCCACUUCCCACAGCAGGAAACCACUCCUCCCAGUAUUCUCUUGAUCAAAGCCCUAUUUCUUGAUCUGCUUUCUUGUGGGAUGCUGUUAGUGGCUUUGGCUUUGCACCUGGGCUACCAUUUUCACUUUGGCAUGUCUUCCAAACCUUCUUGAUGUUGUGUUUUCUGCUGUUUCCCCUCAUGCUCCCACUUGCAUUCCAUGUGAUAAACCUGUUUUAGUGAUGAGAGAGAAGGAUCAGGUCGCGGAGAGGUUUACUUUUGGGAGGGUAGGCAAUGGCCAGGCUUUGUUUGGAAUUGUAUUUUAAAGUUCUCACCCUCAUUGAAUGUAGCCAGUCAUAGUUUCACCCAGUUGACUUGCAACAUCAGCUAACUUGGACAUCAGCAAAUCAAAACUACCGUACCAUAUUACAUUAAUUUCAGUGGAAACAUAUUUUUUAGAAAAAUCAUAAUCAUGGAAUCAUAGAAUCACUCAGGUUGAGAAAGACCUUAAAGAUCAUCGAGUCCAACCAUGACCUAACCAUACUACCCUAACAACCCUCUGCUAAAUCAUGUCCCUGAGAACCACAUCCAAACGAUUUUUAAACACAUCCAGGAAUGGUGACUCAACCACCUCCCUGGGGAGCCUAUUCCAGUGCUUAACAACCCUUUCAGUAAAGUUUUUCCUGAUAUCCAACCUAAACUUACCCUGGUGCAACUUAAGGCCAUUUCCCCUCUUCCUGUCACCUGUCACCAGUGAGAAGAGACCAACCCCGCUCUCUCUGUAGGCACCUUUCAGAUAUUGGAAGAGAGGUCUCCCCCCAGCCUUUUUUUCCCCAGACUAAACAGCCCCAGUUCCUUCAGUCUCUCCUCACAGGGCAUAUUCUCCAAGCCCUUCACAAGCCUUGUUGUCCUUCUUUGGACCUGCUCCAGCACCUCCAUGUCCUUUCUGUACUGAGUUGUAAUGAGUUGAGUAUCAUCUUAUUUUGGCAUAUUCAUGCUAAGAGCGAGCCCAGAGG